AAAAUUUAUUAUCUUUUCCAACAUUUUUUUGAACAGACUCUUCCAACGGAUUGAAUGAAAGAUAUCAAACCAUAGUAUCAACAUUUGUCUAACGUUGAUAACUUCCAGGAAAUUAAAAACUGAUCAAGUUGUUACUGAAUGAAGUUCGAAUGUCCUUAUCCGUUAAUUUUUGAUAACACAAAAUCAUCAAGAUUAUUUUUUUUCAGAAAUACGAGUAAAACCACUUUCGAAACAUUAUUUGAUCAGUCAAUGCCGAACGGUAUAGUUGUUGUUGUAGAAAUUGAAAAUGCGUUUGAUUUUCAUUUUUGGUGUUUUCAUUGUACUUUACUGCAAUGAAUGCGCUUCGAAGACGACUGUUAUUUUUUUGUACGAUAAAGUGGAUACCACCGCGAACGAUGUAGAUUUUUUAACAAACAAAGUAACGUAUCUUUCAUAUGUGCAUAAUGAUUUGGAUUCGGAGUUCAGCAUAAAGUUCCCCUAUAGAUUUGACGUCGAUAAAAUAUCGAAUUCUACAACUUCGAGAAAGGGCGAGUCAACAUUGGAAAAUCUUCUUACACAAAUAAAGGAGUCUCCUUCGUAUUCUAUGAUCUACCCCUUGCAGAAAUUCUGUGACAAUGACCGACA